UUCCUAUGAUGUCUAUAUUUAGAUAAGCAUAUGUCUGAUAAUCAAUGAGGACAAACGGAUUCUGAGGAA
rnacentral:snoRNA from 1 species